rnacentral:lncRNA from 1 species
ACCGGUAAUUGCUAGUUUGCUUCAAACAAGUUGCCAAGAUAUCAAGCCUCUCCAUCCACCUUCUUGCUUUGUUGCUUAAAUCAGUUCAGAUCUCAAAGAUAAAAUAUUGGCACUAGAGGAAGGGCCCUACCCUUUUUUGAAGAUUCAAGAGAUUGAAGAAGCUUGCAAUCAUGAAAUUAUGGAAGGUCCUACAAGAUGCUAAUGCCAU